UCCUACGGGAGGCAGCAGUGGGGAAUYUUGGACAANGGGCGCAAGCCUGAUCCAGCAAUGCCGCGUGCAGGAAGAAGGCCUUCGGGUUGUAAACUGCUUUUGUCAGGGAAGAAAUCUUCUGGGCUAAUACCCCGGGAGGAUGACGGUACUYGAAGAUAGACCCACCGGCUAAAUACGUGCCRGCWGCCUARGUAAUA
rnacentral:rRNA from 1 species